UACGUAGGUGGCGAGCGUUGUCCGGAUUUACUGGGCGUAAAGGGAGCGUAGGCGGACUUUUAAGUGAGAUGUGAAAUACCCGGGCUCAACUUGGGUGCUGCAUUUCAAACUGGAAGUCUAGAGUGCAGGAGAGGAGAAUGGAAUUCCUAGUGUAGCGGUGAAAUGCGUAGAGAUUAGGAAGAACACCAGUGGCGAAGGCGAUUCUCUGGACUGUAACUGACGCUGAUGCACGAAAGCGUGGGGAUCAAACAGGAUUAGAUA
rnacentral:rRNA from 1 species